rnacentral:rRNA from 1 species
UAGGGAAUUUUCCACAAUGGACGAAAGUCUGAUGGAGCAACGCCGCGUGCAGGAUGAAGGCUUUCGGGUCGUAAACUGCUUUUAUGAGUGAUGAUUAUGACAGUAGCUCAAGAAUAAGGGUCGGCUAACUACGUGCCAGCAGCCGCGGUCAUACGUAGGACCCAAGCGUUAUCCGGAAUUACUGGGCGUAAAGAGUUGCGUAGGCGGCUUGUUAAGCAAGAUGUGAAAUCGUGAGGCUCAACCUCAUACACAUAUUUUGAACUGGCAAGCUAGAGUAUGGUAGAGGUCACUGGAAUUCCAAGUGUAGGAGUGAAAUCCGUAGAUAUUUGGAGGAACACCGAUGGCGUAGGCAGGUGACUGGACCAUUACUGACGCUAAGGCACGAAAGCGUGGGGAGCAAACGGG